rnacentral:rRNA from 1 species
ACGGGAGGCAGCAGUGGGGAAUAUUGCACAAUGGGCGAAAGCCUGAUGCAGCGACGCCGCGUGAACGAAGAAGUAUUUCGGUAUGUAAAGUUCUAUCAGCAGGGAAGAUAAUGACGGUACCUGACUAAGAAGCACCGGCUAAAUACGUGCCAGCAGCCGCGGUAAUACGUAUGGUGCAAGCGUUAUCCGGAUUUACUGGGUGUAAAGGGAGCGCAGGCGGCGCGGCAAGUCUGAAGUGAAAUCCCGGGGCUCAACCCCGGAACUGCUUUGGAAACUGUCGUGCUAGAGUGUCGGAGGGGUAAGCGGAAUUCCUAGUGUAGCGGUGAAAUGCGUAGAUAUUAGGAGGAACACCAGUGGCGAAGGCGGCUUACUGGACGAUAACUGACGCUGAGGCUCGAAAGCGUGGGGAGCAAACAGGAUUAGAUACCCUGGUA